CCUCACGUCUUUUAACUCCUUUAUGACUUCAUAUAUACCUCCUAAGUCAAAUAUAACUUCUCCCAAGAUAAAUGUGAAAUCAGUUUUUUUCUACAAGAAGCCACCCAUGCUUAGUACACCUCAUGCUUCUAAACUUGUCUCUAAACAACAAUUUUCUUAGUCCUUAAGCAAGCAUCACGACCCAAUCUUUUAAGACUUUAUAUAUACAUCCUAAAUAAAAGCCCUCCAUGUUAUUCCCAAGUGACUCCAAGUGAAAGAGAAAGCAAAGGAAACAAAGAAGAGUAGAAAACAAGAAGUUGGAAUUGGAAUUUUGAGCAAGUGAGUUUACGUUUUUGAGGUUUGAUUUUAUUAUUUCUAAGAGUUUUAUAAUCUCUUAAACCUAUGAACUUUCUUGAUGUGAUACAGGGGUAUUGUUGGUGGUAUUUUUAUGUCAAAAAGAGGUAACUGGUUGAAGGAAAUUGAGUAUAGUUGCUGGAUUAUACCUAUCCAACAUUUAAUUUUGUAUACUACCUUGAGUAUAACUUAUAUUUAUCAAUAUAAAUGUUUUAUCUGAAAUUUAUAAGUACAGAAAUGAUUUUUAAUAGGUUAGAAUCUGAUUUGUGGCAUGUUAAUUCAAGUGAAACUCAAAACCUCCAUUAAUGCGAACCUAUGUAAUAAUAGUAGCUCCGAAACCAACACAAGAUUGAAUCACAACCACAAGGAAGCUAAAAUCUCGAUUUGAAACUUGACCCAAUAAUUGACCCCCUUAAUAAUAAAAGUUAUGAAACCUUAGUAUGAAGUUGUUGAACGUCACAAGAUAAAAUCCAUGAUAAGUUCAAAAUUGAGUUCAAUGAAGAGUAAGAAGAAAGCAACUUUGCUUUGAUUUAAUCUCUCAAUAAUUAAUUAAUUUACAAUGAAAGAAUGAUGCCAUAUAUAUAGGCAACUCAUAAAACCCUAAUUAAAACGGAAAGCAUCAAGAAAACAUCAAACAAAUCGAGUUCUAAAUGAAAAAGGAAAAUUAAACCGAUUUCAGAUUUUAUUUAUUUUUUUACUGCGAGCGCGCACUUUGUAUUGUCUCGUGCGUACGCCAUUCAAUUGAUUUGGCUAUGGGUUGAAAUUUUACCUCAAUGCGAGCAUGGCCUAUUUUGCUUGCGUGUGCGUCACCUUUUGACUCCUUUGUCCCAUGGUUCUUAUCAGCCAUAGUGAAAUUUCUGAUUUGGUAUUCUGAAAAAAGGGACUGACUUUGAUGCUGCAAACCUUUCACUUAUGGCAAUUUUAGGGCAUUAUUUCAUUCAUAUGGAUGUUAUAUAAGUUCGGUAAAAGUUUGGUAUGGUUAAGGGUGCAAAAAGUGGUAAGAAAAUUAAGUGGACAGUGAUAGGAACUCAAAAUCAGAUUCUUUCCAUUUUCAAAUUUCAUGUAGUUUCACAUUUACGUGAUCACUAAUCACCUCUAAAGCUUGGAAAUUUGAUUUUAGAAUGAGUGUUAGGUCGUUAAUGAUUGAAUUAGAUAGUUUUUACAUUCAUUGAACUUGAAAAUAGCGCGAGUUAUACUGGUUGCUUGAAAUGCUAAUGCUAUCUAGUUAUGUUGGCGUUUGUGGUUGUAGUACAGGAUUUUGUGUGAGUUAAGAUUAACAAAUUGAGAAUAUUGUUUGAUAUUAGAUGAUAAUAUGGGUUUUAAUUUUUUUAAUUUUUAUUUUUUUUCAACUUUAGGUGGGAAAAAGACUUGACUUAUACCUCAUACAGAGCACACACACGGAGGCAAAAGAUAAGUAAAAACUCAUUUGCAAUUACGAUGCAAGAACAUAGUAUCCAUUGAAAUAUUUUUCUAUUUAUCAUUGUCAUGACUUUUAUGUAAUUUUGAUAAUGAACUUAUUGUAUCCUAUGUUGGUCAUGAUGAUUGAUUAGGUGUUUCAAGAGCAUGUUGGCAUCCACUUUGAUUGAGUAUGCUAUUCAUAAGCAUUUAUAUGUGCAUGCAUGACAUGUCCACACUAAAAAAUAUCUAGCAUGCACGACAUGAUUUGAAAAAAUGAAUUUACAUUAUAAAAUAUUUUAUUGACCACAAUUUGGGCACCAAGGCAUGCGAGCUUGCUUAUGUGAUAUUUGUUGGCAUCACAAGUGAGACUUUCCUGUUAUCAUGUAGGAAUAUAGGGAAUGUACCUUUGACGAUCACGGGAUGAUGGACCACUUGAUUAUGCUUUGGUGAUAUUAUGAUUAUUGAUGUCAGGAUGGGAUAAUUCUUGGGUGAUUGAUCAUAGGGGCAGUUAGGGAUGUACCUCUAGUGGUCAUAGGAGGAUGGUCCACUUGACUGUAUCGAUAUUAUAUUGGACAUUUGAUUAUUGAUAUUGAUAUUGCAUAAAACUCUAUUCGGUGCAUAGUAGGUGCGUGAAGGACCCAAUGAAAAGAGACAUUUUCAAAUGAAAUUAUUUUGAGCUUGCUUUGAUGAAUAUUUUAAUAUGAUGUAUCAUUUGCAUAAUGUUUUCAAAAGAAAUGGCAUGGACACAUUCAUAUUCAUGGCAUGCAUAAUUUUUACAUAUUGAGCAUUAGCUUAUGUAGUUCUUGAAUUGUAGUGAGUUUGAUGAGCUUGGAGCUCCAUACAUAACAUUGCUGGGAUGUGAAGCUCUUGCAGGAUUUCGAAAGUCGAUAAACAUUGAUGACGACUUGUAGGGUUAUUUUAGGGAAUGUCCAUUUGGUCUUACAAUCUUUUUAAAACUUACGUAUGUAUGACUUGUGAAAUAGAAUAGUAAUACUUUUGUAUUCUUAAAGUAAACAUGUUUUAAUAGAGUUAGUCUAUUGUCUUGAUAUAUUAUAUGAACAUUACAGGUGAUCAUGUGAAUAUGCAUGGAUUUAUGGUGAGG
rnacentral:lncRNA from 1 species